rnacentral:rRNA from 1 species
UACGUAGGGGGCAAGCGUUGUCCGGAAUUAUUGGGCGUAAAGAGCGUGUAGGCGGUCCGGUAAGUCGGCUGUGAAAGUCCAGGGCUCAACCCUGGGAUGCCGGUCGAUACUGCCGGACUAGAGUUCGGAAGAGGCGAGUGGAAUUCCCGGUGUAGCGGUGAAAUGCGCAGAUAUCGGGAGGAACACCUAUGGCGAAGGCAGCUCGCUGGGACGUUACUGACGCUGAGGUGCGAAAGCGUGGGGAGCGAACAGG